GCCUGGCUGGCUCAGUGGUUGAGCGUCUGCCUUCAGCUCAGAGUGUGAUCCCAGAGUCAUGGGAUCGAGUCCCUCAUCAGGCU
rnacentral:tRNA from 1 species